rnacentral:lncRNA from 1 species
GAGACUCAUCUAUCUCGAAGAAAGAGAUCCAUGCAUUGAUCUAACUGGAUCAAUCACCAUCCCUAUGAUGAUCCAUCGAUUAGAAAUAAUUUAAAAAUUAAUUAUACAUAUCUCAAAUUUUAAAGUCUUUAGAAUAUGUAUCUUUAAAUUAUUAAUUUUUUGAAUAAUUUUCGGACCCAUAAUAUAAGAAUAGAUAAAACUUGCCUAGUUUGAUAAUUUAAGUACAAAUAUAUGUUCUAAACUUAUUACAAUAUAUUUGUCAUAUUGGCUUUUAGGGUAUAUAUUUAAUAAUCUCCUACUUGGUCUAGAGCCAAUUGGCCACUAACCUGUCUC